UACGUAGGGAGCAAGCGUUGUCCGGAAUCAUUGGGCGUAAAGCGCGCGUAGGCGGCCCCGUAAGUCCGCUGUGAAAGUCAAAGGCUCAACCUUUGAAAGCCGGUGGAUACUGUGGGGCUAGAGUCCGGAAGAGGCGAGUGGAAUUCCUGGUGUAGCGGUGGAAUGCGCAGAUAUCAGGAGGAACACCGGUGGCGAAGGCGGCCAACUGGGCCGACCCUGACGCUGAGGCGCGAAGGCGUGGGGAGCGAACGGG
rnacentral:rRNA from 1 species